UGGGGAAUAUUGCACAAUGGGCGCAAGCCUGAUGCAGCCAUGCCGCGUGUAUGAAGAAGGCCUUCGGGUUGUAAAGUACUUUCAGCGGGGAGGAAGGCGAUAAGGUUAAUAACCUUGUCGAUUGACGUUACCCGCAGAAGAAGCACCGGCUAACUCCGUGCCAGCAGCCGCGGUUAUACGGAGGGUGCAAGCGUUAAUCGGAAUUACUGGGCGUAAAGCGCACGCAGGCGGUCUGUCAAGUCGGAUGUGAAAUCCCCGGGCUCAGCCUGGGAACUGCAAUCGAAACUGGCAGGCUAGAGUCUUGUAGAGGGGGGUAGAAUUCCAGGUGUAGCGGUGAAAUGCGUAGAGAUCUGGAGGAAUACCGGUGGCGAAGGCGGCCCCCUGGACAAAGACUGACGCUCAGGUGCGAAAGCGUGGGGAGCAAACA
rnacentral:rRNA from 1 species